rnacentral:rRNA from 1 species
GACAGAGGAGCCAAGCGUUGUCCGGAUUGACUGGGCGUAAAGCGCACGCAGGCGGCUGUGCACGUGGGGUGUGAAAGCUGGCGGCUUAACUGCCAGACGCCACCUCAUACGGCACGGCUCGAGCCCGUGAGAGGUCCACGGAAUUGCCGGUGUAGUGGUGAAAUGCGUAGAGAUCGGCAGGAACACCCAGGGGGAAACCAGUGGACUGGCACGGUGCUGACGCUCAGGUGCGAAAGCGUGGGGAGCGAGCCGG